UUUGACGUUAGCGACAGAAGAAGCACCGGCUAACUCCGUGCCAGCAGCCGCGGUAAUACGGAGGGUGCGAGCGUUAAUCGGAAUACUGGGCGUAAAGCGCAUGCAGGUGGUUUGUUAAGUCAGAUGUGAAAGCCCGGGGCUCAACCUCGGAAUUGCAUUUGAAACUGGCAGACUAGAGUACUGUAGAGGGGGGUAGAAUUUCAGGUGUAG
rnacentral:rRNA from 1 species